rnacentral:lncRNA from 1 species
CUUUUUUGGACCGUUUCAGAUCAAACAAGGAAGAAGUUUAGUGAAACGAUAUGGGGUUAUCUUUACUUGUCUCUCCAUCCGUGCCGUUCACUUGGAAACCGCACAUUCUAUGGAUACAGAUUCUUGUAUAAACGCAAUCAGACGUUUGAUAUCUCGCAGAGGAAAGCCAGAAUUCAUAUUAAGAUCAGAUAACGGAACAAAUCUAGUUGGAGCAGAAAGAGAAAUGAGAGAAGAAAUAGAAAGAUGGAACAUAGACAAGAUAAAUAAUUUCAUGCUUCAGAAAAGUAUAAAAUGGGCAUUCAACCCUCCUGCCGCGUCACACUUUGGAGGCGUGUGGGAGAGAUUAAUAAGAUCAGUAAGAAAGGUGUUAUAUUCUGUCAUGCAAGAGCAGAGUCUUCGAUUGAACGAUGAAAAUCUGAAUACAUUGUUUUGUGAAGUGGAAGCAAUCUUGAAUAACCGUCCGAUUUCUGAAGUAUCUGAACACGUAGACGAUUUAAAGGUCCUUACUCCGAACCAUCUUCUCUUAUUAAGACCUGGCGAAUACUUUCCUCCAGGAACUUUUUGUAAAACAGACAAUUACGUAAGAAGACGUUGGCGACAAAUACAAUAUCUAGCAGACAUUUUCUGGAAGAGAUGGACUCAUGAGUAUUUGCCUUUAUUACAAAGUAGGCAAAAGUGGAACUCUGAAAAGCGAAACUUGAAAAUAGGAGACAUUGUAUUGAUCCAGGAUAAUACACCGAGGAAUCUUUGGAACUUAGGAAGAAUCAUUGAAGUACUAAAGGACAAGUCAGACAAUGUUCGUAUAGUGAGGCUAAAAACAUAUUCAACAACAUUAUUACGACCAGUCGCAAAGUUGUGUUUGGUAUUAGAAGCUGAUAUUUAGAGUCAUAGUUUGAACUAGUCAUGUUAGAACAGUAACUUGUGUUUGAAAAGUACUUUGUUGUAUAAAUGGACUAUAUAAAGGUUUAGUUUAUUGAUUGUCACUUAAAUUGGGAAAUUAUUUGGCCUUAUUAUAAUUUUUGAUAAUUGAGUUCUUUAAGACCACAAUUAAGGGGCUGGAAUGUAGCGGCCAAAUUUGAGAACAAAAACCAUUGUUGCCUAUUGUUGUAUUUUUUGGUAAUUAGUGAUAUUCUAUUUUGAGACAAGUUACUUUCCCUUUACUUUAAUGAACCCCUUCAGGGAAUUUGCACGAAACGUGCUUGGUGAAAAUCUUUGAUUAUGAUGAAAAUAAGGAAUACCAGAGUCAACCAAUAUGGUAUGUUUCUUUUAUUUAUUGCAGAUAAAUUAUCUUUCAUGUUUAAAGUUAGAAAUUUUGAGUUUAAUUGAUGUAAAACCGAUGAAAGUUGACCUUGAUAAUUUGGCAAUUAUUUAACGUAAAUGUUCAUGAUAAUACUUUUUUGAAAGAGAACAAGUGUAUGUUACUACCGUAAAUGUUAUGAUAGAUGCACUUUUGUAUUGUAUUAUAAUUCACAAAAUGUUAGUUUUGAUAGUAGAAUUUAGUGUGUUUUAUCUUUUAUUUUGUAGUUAAUCUUUUCGUACCUGAAUAAAGAGAUUUGAACGGAAGGAAUUAGUAUUUAUUUGGUAUAGACAUCAUACUAUUUGAUA